GGGGAUAUGGCUCAGUUUGUAGAGUGCUUGCCUUGCAUGCAUCGAGACCCUGGGUUUGAUUCCCAGCACCACA
rnacentral:tRNA from 1 species